UACGUAGGGUGCGAGCGUUGUCCGGAAUUAUUGGGCGUAAAGAGCUCGUAGGCGGUUUGUCGCGUCGGCCGUGAAAACUUGGGGCUUAACUCCAAGCUUGCGGUCGAUACGGGCAGACUUGAGUUCGGCAGGGGAGACUGGAAUUCCUGGUGUAGCGGUGAAAUGCGCAGAUAUCAGGAGGAACACCGGUGGCGAAGGCGGUUCUCUGGGCCUUACCUGACGCUGAGGAGCGAAAGCAUGGGGAGCAAACAGG
rnacentral:rRNA from 1 species